rnacentral:rRNA from 1 species
GACGAACGCUGGCGGCGUGCUUAACACAUGCCAGUCGAACGGAAAGGCCCUGCUUUUGUGGGGUGCUCGAGUGGCGAACGGGUGAGUAACACGUGAGUAACCUGCCCUUGACUUUGGGAUAACUUCAGGAAACUGGGGCUAAUACCGGAUAGGAGCUCCUGCUGCAUGGUGGGGGUUGGAAAGUUUCGGCGGUUGGGGAUGGACUCGCGGCUUAUCAGCUUGUUGGUGGGGUAGUGGCUUACCAAGGCUUUGACGGGUAGCCGGCCUGAGAGGGUGACCGGCCACAUUGGGCCUGAGCUACGGCCCAGACUCCUACGGGAGGCAGCAGUGGGGAAUAUUGCACAUUGGGCGGAAGCCUGAUGCAGCAGCGCCGCGUGCGGGAUGACGGCCUUCGGGUUGUAAACCGCUUUCGCCUGUGACGAAGCGUGAGUGACGGUAAUGGGUAAAGAAGCACCGGCUAAAUACGUG